rnacentral:rRNA from 1 species
GAUGAACGCUAGCGGCAGGCUUAACACAUGCAAGUCGAGGGGUAUUGGUUUUCGGACCAAGAGACCGGCGCACGGGUGCGUAACGCGUAUGCAAUCUACCUUUUGCAGAGGGAUAGCCCCAGAGAAAUUUGGAUUAAUACCUCAUAGUAUAGUACUUUGGCAUCAAGGAACUAUUAAAGUCACAACGGCAAAAGAUGAGCAUGCGUCCCAUUAGCUAGUAGGUAAGGUAACGGCUUACCAAGGCUACGAUGGGUAGGGGUCCUGAGAGGGAGAUCCCCCACACUGGUACUGAGACACGGACCAGACUCCUACGGGAGGCAGCAGUGAGGAAUAUUGGACAAUGGGCGCAAGCCUGAUCCAGCCAUGCCGCGUGCAGGAUGACGGUCCUAUGGAUUGUAAACUGCUUUUANACAGGAAGAAACACUCCGACGUGUCGGAGCUUGACGGUACUGUAAGAAUAAGGAUCGGCUAACUCCGUGCCAGCAGCCGCGG